CUCUCGCUGCAAGGAGAUGAAAAGGAGGGAGAGGAUCAGGCAGCGAAGCAGACCGACAAACCGUCCAUUCAGCGCGGGAACAAAGGGAGGAGGACGCGCGCACAGCGGGAGGCGAGGCGCUCCACAGAACCGACAGGAUGUCAGGAUUUACUCAGGGUGAGAGGCGGCAGAACCAAACUGACGACUAGAGAGGCUUGUGUUCUCUCAGAGGGGAAGAAUGAGGCGGCAGACACUCACUGGUUGAGGAAGGCGAACAGGUUUUCCAUCCCUGCAGCAGGAAAGGGAAAGAGACGUUUCCAGGCUUCAUUUGAAGGGACACACUUCAGAGACAAACAGACAUGAGAUGGUUAAACUCCCACAAUUUUCCUCCAGUUUUGCUCAAAAAUGGAAUCUGAGCGUUCAGUCAGACUGAUUUCAGUGCAUAUAUUUAGGCAACCUCUCACCUCUCUCGAAGCAGUUCUUGAUGUCGUUGACCUCUACCUGUGAGCCUGAAACCCGGAAGAUGCCCUGAUGCUGAAGACCUGAGAAAAACAUCUGGGUUUGACUACAAGCUGCAUUACACAUUGAAUGGAAACGAGACGCAGAAUCUUCGCUUCGCUUCGCUGCCGUUUCCUCACAUUGAAGUAGAAAAGCUCCGUCUCCUGCUGGUUGGCUCGUCUCUUGGCCAGACUGGGUUUGUUCAGGUAGCCGUCCGACACGCUGG